AGAGAAUGAUGGGAACAUUUCAGAAUAUGCCAGUGCUAGAAAGCCUGCAGCAUCUGAAUCUACAGUGCAAGCAGCACCUAGGCCCAUAUUUUCUCCUGGUUCAGGUUCCCAGGCACAUGAUCGGGAAGACAAAGGUCAUCAUUCUCAAACUAGAGACCAACAGCUCCCUAGGCCUUUUAUGCAACAAAAGCCACCUUUCACUGGUUCAAUCCAAAGUCAGCCACUAGAUCAACAGUUUGAUAGUAAUCCUCCUCCAGGCUUUGAAAGGAACCGGUUGCCUCAGCAAGGUUUUGAUGCUCAGGGUUCAUUUCCAGUGCACAUGCCCCAACCUCAUGGCUUUGCAGUGCCUGUGAGUUCGAAUCCAGGCUUGGCUCAUCAAUUUGGUUAUCCUCAGUUUGCACCUGAGGGAGCCCAACCAUUUUAUGGUGCUGCUUCAGUUGAGAUGCCUAGGCUAGACUCAACUCCUGAAAGGGGAUCAGAACAAGGGUCUUUGCUAGGUUUUCCACCUGGUGCUGCAGGAAAUAGGAAUUUUCCAGAAAAUUAUCCUCGACCAUGGAAUAUGGGGCAGUUGGCUGGGCAGUCAAACCUGCCACUUCCGCUGUCAGCCAACAGAGGAUUGGAAGGUGGACAGAGUAGUAAUUCCAUGGACACCAGAGAUAGCAAGGGUAUAUUGAUGUCACAACCUGCGUCCCUCCAGCCGCCCCUACCUCAUCACAGGUCACAACUCCAAAGAGGGGGCAGAAACUAUUCUGGUGAUUCAAGUCAUGGUGGACAGGGCUAUGGUUGGCAACAUGAGAAACAUGGUAAUUUCAGAAGCAACCAGGACUAGUUAUGUUCUUGUCAUCCGGCCAUCUUUUCUUUUGAAAGAACAGUUGCGCAUUUUGUUAUUGCCUACAGACUGCAGUGUAUUUUACUUUCUAAACUAGCAACAAUGUUUUGUUAAAAGCUGAAACAGUACCUAGCUUCUUGUUCAAACAGUAGCAUGGAUGUCUUCUGCUUGAGAAGUCAUUCAAGAUUUGCAGCUUCUUCUAAAUUGAGGCCAGUAAUUACAUAUUUGAACUAUUUUCCUGAAGUA
rnacentral:misc_RNA from 1 species